GUCCACGCCGUAAACGAUGGAAGCUAGCCGUUGGUGGGUUUACUCAUCAGUGGCGCAGCUAACGCAUUAAGCUUCCCGCCUGGGGAGUACGGUCGCAAGAUUAAAACUCAAAGGAAUUGACGGGGCCCGCACAAGCGGUGGAGCAUGUGGUUCAAUUCGAAGCAACGCGAAGAACCUUACCAGCCUUUGACAUGCCUCGUAUGGUCGCUAGAGAUAGCUUCCUUCCCGCAAGGGGCGAGAGCACAGGUGCUGCAUGGCUGUCGU
rnacentral:rRNA from 1 species